rnacentral:tRNA from 1 species
UCCCUGGAGGACUAGUGGUUAGGCCACGGCGCUCUCACCGCCGCGGCCCGGAUUCGAUUCCCAGCCAGGGAA